UACGUAGGGUGCAAGCGUUAAUCGGAAUUACUGGGCGUAAAGCGUGCGCAGGCGGCUUUGCAAGACAGAUGUGAAAUCCCCGGGCUCAACCUGGGAACUGCAUUUGUGACUGCAUGGCUGGAGUGCGGCAGAGGGGGAUGGAAUUCCGCGUGUAGCAGUGAAAUGCGUAGAUAUGUGGAGGAACACCGAUGGCGAAGGCAAUCCCCUGGGCCUGCACUGACGCUCAUGCACGAAAGCGUGGGGAGCAAACAGG
rnacentral:rRNA from 1 species